GUGGGUGUAGUUCAGUGGUAGAAUGUGUGCUUAGCAUGUAUGAGGCCCUCGGUUCUAUGCCCAGCACUUCCA
rnacentral:tRNA from 1 species